CCCACCAUAGUCAACUCCAGUACAUCAGAGCUGACAUUCAUAAACAGCCAUCAAUCACCCUGUUUCAACUGGAAAAGGAACGUGCAAAACGCCAAGUGGUCUCAGCCGCCCAUGACUGCAUGGCCAGAGCAGGCAGACCUCAUCACCUCUGUCUUAAAGAUGGGGAAACAGAGGCCUAGGAAUUGGUGGGGUUUCCCUGGCUCACCUGACCUUGUCACAGUGCCAUCAGGAGAUGUGCUCGGAACUAUUUCUCCAGGAGCUGUGACAGGUUUUGAGGACUCAGGCACAGCAGAGCAGCAUUUGACAGGGCUGACCAGGUGUACGGAUGCGGCCAGUGACACUGGAAAGGCUCUUCUUCCUCUGAAGUCCCUGGUCUAGUAAAUGAAUACAGAAAGGUAUAAAUCCAGAGGGAUGUGACAACAGCAGACUGGACAUGUCAACAAAAUUUUGCAAAAUGGGAAGUACAUGGUUUAGUGGAAUAGAUGAACUGCACACUACGUGCCAGCAAGUGUGGGGUCCUUGGACUUCCUCCAUGGACUUUACCAGAGUGAGAAGGUUCCAAGAGAGGAGGUGGAAGCUGCAAGCCCUGUGAUCUAGUCCCAGAUGUACCAGAAGGUCUCUUUGGCUGCAUCCCCUCGAGGAGCAAGUCAUGGGAGCCACCUCGGAUCCCAGGGAGGGGAAAUCGGCUGCCCUUCCCACUGGGAGGAGCGUAAAGACUUUGUGGCCAUCCUUCAUGCUCCACAGGCCAUGUUGAGCCACCCGGAGUGCAGGGCACAUGAGCCUCCUGUGCCCCGAUGGCCCACCACCAGCAGACGCCUUCCCCGCAUGUUCCAUAGCCCAGCCAAGGCUGUCUCAUGCUGCAGAGACCACGGUGACCUCAGACUCAACUUCAUCAGCGUCCGUACUCAAGCCUCUCCCUGAACUACUGAUGCUGACAUCUGGUGACCCAGUCAGCCCACGUCUGGAGAUGCAGGGAGGAACCAGGGCCCGGAGGCCAGGUCUUAAUUAAGGAGCUCAGGAGCAGGAAAGCUUCUGUGCAGUGGCGGCAAAUGAAGAACCACUUCCUUCUAGAACAGUUAGGUGCGUCAUUCUUGGAAUUAGCAUGCUCCAGGUCACGCUUGGGGACGCAUGAAGGAUUUGACACCCACGUACACAUUUGUCAGCUUCUGAU